rnacentral:lncRNA from 1 species
GGCGAGAAGCCAGGCAGGACGCCACGACGCGUCGUGUCUGAGAGAAAACCGUCUCCCCUCCACUCAGGCUUCAGCCCCGACCCCACGCUAACUGGGCCAGGGCAGGGGCUGGGCUGGGAGGGGACCCAGUGAGCUCAGGGCUGGAGGAAACGGUCCCUGCUUUGAAGUGGCUCCGGCACCGGCCUCUCCCACCACCCUGUCAUGAGAAGCAAAGAACAUGGAAAGCAGAAUUCCUGGGGGUGGCCUCAACCCCAAGCCCUGCCGAUGCAAACCGGCACCUUGAAGAUGCCUUUGGAAUUUAACUGGAAGAUUUGAAUGACAUGGGCAGACACAGAAGAGGGAGAAGCAUUCCACAGGGGAGGAAAGGCCUCAGUGGGGACCUAUGGAGCUCCCAGGCCCACCGCAGGGAGGCAGGUCCUCGGUCAUCUGCGGAGGGAGAACACUUUCAGUCGAAGGAGCCUGGGACCCUUGACACAGAAGUGACAUGUGCAUUCGGAACCUCUCUGUGGAAAACACAGACCCUUCAUGACACGCAAACUCGAAGCCGGUGAGGCCGAGUCUCAGGGCUGCGCCAACCAGGAAGCCUGGCUGUCCAAUGUUCCAAAUCUGGAUGUGAAAUGGACCAUGCAGACAGGACCCAAGGGGCAUGGGGGAGCUGGCAGAGGCACCCGGGACAAGUGGGGAAGCACCUGUCGGCCAGGAAGGUAGAGAGGCACCUACCCCAGAACACGGUGCCAGCGUCACACUCUUAUUAACAGAUGCAAUAACCACCUUCGGAGACCAGACCCCUCAAAGAGCACUCAGCCCACAAUGUGACGCAGAGAAACCAGAGACCCAGGCAGGGAGUGCACCCACGGGGACACUCCGAGGGUGGCCUCCUGCCUGCCCUGAUUACUUAAAAAGGAGAUUCUUGGAAACCUUUGCGGGCCCACAGGUGCACCCUGACUCCCAGGGAUGGGGGCUGAGCCACCCAGGAAACAAAUAUGAAAUCAAAGAUCCAGACAGCCCUGACCCUCCUGAUUCCAGGGUCCAUAAAUAAGUCAUUCUUAAAAUAGUGGUUGUUUUCUCUCUAUUUAAGAAGUGCUUCUUUUUUGAGUCCUUGUUCCCAACUUCCCUGGCAACUCAGUUUCCUGUUUCCUCCGGGAGGAAGGCAGAACUGCAGGAGAGCUCAGGACCCUGCUGCCUCCACCACUCUCUCCUGGAAAACUGUCCAGCAUCACAGCUGCGGCUCCAGCCUCCUCCGGGCCCAGGUGUGGAGGGCAAGUGCUGCCUCCACCACCCUUGCUAUGCGUCUCCACUUCACACAUGGGCAUCCGUGACCACACGUGUGCACCCGUGAAAAGCGUGCAUUUCCAGUGGUGUCUGCAUCAUUUGCAUAUCACUGACAGAAAGAUACCCUUUCACAAUUCUAUUCUCCCUCCUGACCCAUAUUUUCUGAAAUGCACCUGGGUGAAAACAUAAAUCUGGAAGCUUCUUUGCUCCUUUUACAGCUGCCUAGUAUUCUUUUUUUUCUUUUAAGAGAUGGGGUCUCAUUUUGUUGCCCAGGCUGGAGUAUAGGGGUGCGAUCACAGCUCACCGCAGCCUCCAACUCCUGGGUUUAAGGUGUCCUCUCACCUGAGCCUCCCAAGUAGCUGGGACUACAGGCACGUGCCACCACGCCUGCUUAUUUUUAUUUUUUAUUUUUUAAUUGAUGGGUCUCGCUAUGUUGCCCAGGCUGGUCUCCAACUCCUGACCUCAAGCAAUCCUCCUACCUUGGCCUCCCAAAGUGCUGGGAUUACAGGCAUGAGCCGCUGCACCCGCCCUGCCUGGCAUUCUCUAUAUGAAAACCCUCGCUCCUUCACCUGUUCCUGCCCAGAUGGACGUUUCCAGUGCUUCUGGUUCCUGCCAUCACACGCUGGGCCACGAUGGACAUGACAGAACUCCCCAUGAACAGGGGGCAGGUCAAUGUGGCUGCACCCCAGUGACUCGAGGCUCACGUUCCACUCACGUGCUUCUACCACAGCCUAAGCAAAGGCAGGGGUGGGCUGAAACCCUUCCUGGGAGGUUUCAGUCUCCAGAGGGGGCUGUUCAGUCCUUGGUAUCAAUGAAAGCCGACUUUCCACACACCCAGGUGCCUGGGCGUGGCCCCGCUCAGAGCAGCCCCUCCUGGAGUGCCUCUUAAAUGAGCCUCACUGGGUUGCUCCGUUGGCCACACAGGUGUCCCUCAU